CUACGGGCUGCACCAGUGGGGAAUAUUGCACAAUGGGGGAAACCCUGAUGCAGCAACGCCGCGUGGAGGAUGACACAUUUCGGUGCGUAAACUCCUUUUAUAGGUCAAGAUAAUGACGGUAGCCUAUGAAUAAGCGCCGGCUAACUCCGUGCCAGCAGCCGCGGUAAUACGGAGGGCGCAAGCGUUACUCGGAAUCACUGGGCGUAAAGAGCAUGUAGGCGGAUUGUUAAGUUGGAAGUGAAAUCCUAUGGCUUAACCGUAGAACUGCUUCCAAAACUGAUAAUCUAGAGUAUGGGAGAGGUAGAUGGAAUUUCUGGUGUAGGGGUAAAAUCCGUAGAGAUCAGAAGGAAUACCGAUUGCGAAGGCGAUCUACUGGAACAUUACUGACGCUCAGAUGCGAAAGCGUGGGGAGCAAACAGGAUUAGAUACCCGGGUAGUC
rnacentral:rRNA from 1 species